rnacentral:lncRNA from 1 species
GCCAGCUGAAACAUGCAUCCUGAUGUGGGAGUUUCUCGCUGCAUUGAAGACCCAUUAGUGGCCUUCGGCUGUUGUCUGCUAUUUGGUCGGGUUGUUGUCUCUUUGACACAUUGGAUUCCCCAUUUCCAUUCUCAAUUUUAUAUAUACAAUUGCAUACAUGUAUGAACAUACAUGUAUAAUAUAUCAUGAGCUAGAUUUCCUUUAAUAUAAGAUCUUAAAAAGGAUCACCACCUUCCCGCCUUCAAAUUGUCGUCCCCUAAAUUGACUGCUGGUAUCAAAUAUUCAG